rnacentral:rRNA from 1 species
AUUGGUCAUGUAGAGGAAGUAAAAGUCGUAACAAGGUUUCCGUAGGUGAACCUGCGGAUGGAUCAUUAUUGAAAUUAUUGGUGAGGGUUGUAGCUGACCUUUCGAGGCAUGUGCACGCUCGAGCCCUUAAUCCACUUUACACCUGUGCAUUUAAUGUAGGUCGCCCAUAAAAAAGGUGACCUAUGUCUUAUCAUCAACCCAUCGUAUGUCUCAUAGAAUGUAAUCGAUAUCCUCGCCCUGAAAAAGCGUUGAUAAACUUAUACAACUUUCAACAACGGAUCUCUUGGCUCUCGCAUCGAUGAAGAACGCAGCGAAAUGCGACAAGUAAUGUGAAUUGCAGAUUUUCAGUGAAUCAUCGAAUCUUUGAACGCACCUUGCGCUCCUUGGUAUUCCGAGGAGCAUGCCUGUUUGAGUGUCAUUAAAUUCUCAACUCCAAGGGUUUCACGACCUUUCGGAGAUUGGACUUGGAGGUGCUGGCCGCAUAUUGGUCGGCUCCUCUCAAAUGCAUCAGCGGAAUUCAACCUUUGGCUUCCGGAUGUCAGUGUGAUAAUCAUGUUGCGCUGUCGUUUGAUCCCUCAGAGUCCGCUUAUAAUGGUCUUCGGACAAAAUCAUCAUCAAAUUUGACCUAAAAUCAGGUAGGACUACCCGCUGAACUUAAGCAUAUCAAUAAGCGGAGA